rnacentral:rRNA from 1 species
UGUAGGAUUAAUUCGAUGCAACGACGAAAAACCUUACCUACCCUUGACAUGUUCGGAAUUCCGCAGAGAUGUGGAAGUGCUACGAAAGAGAACCGGAACACAGGUGCUGCAUGGCUGUCGUCAGCUCGUGUCGUGAGAUGUUGGGUUAAAGUCCCCGCAACGAGCGCAACCCUUGUCAUUAGUUGCUACGAAAGGGCACUCUAAUGAGACUGCCCGGUGACAAAACCCGGAGGAAGGUGGGGAUGACGUCAAGUCCUCAUGGCCCUUAUGGGUAGGGCUUCACACGUCAUACAAUGGUCGGUACAGAGGGCUGCCAACCCGCAAGGGGGAGCCAAUCCCUUAAAACCGAUCGUAGUCCGGAUUGAGGUCUGCAACUCGACCUCAUGAAGUCGGAAUCGCUAGUAAUCGCGGAUCAGCAUGUCGCGGUGAAUACGUUCCCGGGUCUU